UGUCUAAAGGCAUCAUUGUCAUUCUUCUCCGUACUGCGUGUAACAAAAGUCUAAAUGGUGAUAUUUCCUGUAGCUAUUCCCUGGGAUGUGCGUGCAGUGGCGAGCGCAGGUUGCAUAAAGCUUACUGUAGCCUAAUUGAUCUUUCACUUUGAGGUAAGACAAAUUAUUGGGGUCUUUCUUAAUUCUUGAAGGGGGAACUCUUUAGAAAUUGAUACACUAUUUUGUGCUGUUACUGUAUCAUUUCAGGUGUGGUCCAGAGCGCUAGCUGCUGUUUUCUUAGGGGUUCUAUACUCGUGGUGUCGCUGUUUGUCGGCUGGCUGUAGUGAUUGGACGUUUGCGGUUUCGAACCGCUGUAGUGACCGAGCUCUUCCACAGUCUCUGCCCUGACUGGUCUGUAUGAGGGUUGCUGAAUUAUUGGGCAUGCGUGUUUUAUAUGGACUAUUAAAGUGAACUAGAACAACGAGAAGUUUGGUCUGUAACAGCAGCCGGAACAAUUUUAAAGAUUAAUUGUGUUGAUGUAUUUUUCUUUCUUUUUUUCCUUUCUUUGAUCUUGAACACUGUAUUUGCCAGGUAUGUCCACAUGUGAAUGAUUUGACCUGUGAUAUGAGGCUUAGCUGAAGAGGAGAGUGUAUUUGCUUUUUUUUGUUUGGUUUCUUUUGAAUUGUUUAUCACUUGCUUUGAUUUUGUUCACUGAUUGUUGUGUGGUUUGUCUCUUCAGCUAUUGCGGAUUAAUUACGGUCUCUUAUUUGCUGUGGGUAUUUAAUUGGUAAUUGUGUAUGAGACCUAUUUUUAGAUGUUUUAAAAUUAAUGUCCCUCGUACAAAAUAAACUUUGUAUACUUUUGAA